rnacentral:rRNA from 1 species
UCUUAGCUUGCUAAGGCCGAUGGCGACCGGCGCACGGGUGAGUAACACGUAUCCAACCUGCCGUCUACUCUUGGACAGCCUUCUGAAAGGAAGAUUAAUACAAGAUGGCAUCAUGAGUUCGCAUGUUCACAUGAUUAAAGGUAUUCCGGUAGACGAUGGGGAUGCGUUCCAUUAGAUAGUAGGCGGGGUAACGGCCCACCUAGUCUUCGAUGGAUAGGGGUUCUGAGAGGAAGGUCCCCCACAUUGGAACUGAGACACGGUCCAAACUCCUACGGGAGGCAGCAGUGAGGAAUAUUGGUCAAUGGGCGAGAGCCUGAACCAGCCAAGUAGCGUGAAGGAUGACGGCCCUACGGGUUGUAAACUUCUUUUGUGCGGGAAUAAAGGAACCUACGUGUAGGUUUUUGCAUGUACCGUAACGAAUAAGCAUCGGCUAACUCCGUGCCAGCAGCCGCGGUAAUACGGAGGAUGCGAGCGUUAUCCGGAUUUAUUGGGUUUAAAGGGAGCGUAGACGGGUUUUUAAGUCAGCUGUGAAAGUUUGGGGCUCAACCUUAAAAUUGCAGUUGAAACUGGAGACCUUGAGUACGGUUGAGGCAGGCGGAAUUCGUGGUGUAGCGGUGAAAUGCUUAGAUAUCACGAAGAACUCCGAUUG